GACGAACGCUGGCGGCGUGCCUAAUACAUGCAAGUCGAGCGAAGUUUUUCUGGUGCUUGCACUAGAAAAACUUAGCAGCGAACGGGUGAGUAACACGUAAAGAACCUGCCUCAUAGACUGGGACAACUAUUGGAAACGAUAGCUAAUACCGGAUAACAGUAUUUCUCGCAUGAGAGAUAUUUAAAAGUUGGUUAUGCUAACACUAUGAGAUGGCUUUGCGGUGCAUUAGCUAGUUGGUGGGGUAAAGGCCCACCAAGGCGACGAUGCAUAGCCGACCUGAGAGGGUGAUCGGCCACACUGGGACUGAGACACGGCCCAGACUCCUACGGGAGGCAGCAGUAGGGAAUCUUCCGCAAUGGGCGAAAGCCUGACGGAGCAACGCCGCGUGAGUGAAGAAGGAUUUCGGUUCGUAAAGCUCUGUUGUUAGGGAAGAAUGGAUAUGUAGUAACUAUACAUGUAAGAGACGGUACCUAACCAGAAAGCCACGGCUAACUACGUG
rnacentral:rRNA from 1 species